rnacentral:rRNA from 1 species
AUUGAACGCUGGCGGCAUGCUUUACACAUGCAAGUCGAACGGUAACAGGCCGCAAGGUGCUGACGAGUGGCGAACGGGUGAGUAAUGCAUCGGAACGUGCCCAGUCGUGGGGGAUAACGCAGCGAAAGCUGCGCUAAUACCGCAUACGAUCUAUGGAUGAAAGCGGGGGACCGAAAGGCCUCGCGCGAUUGGAGCGGCCGAUAUCAGAUUAGGUAGUUGGUGAGGUAAAGGCUCACCAAGCCGACGAUCUGUAGCUGGUCUGAGAGGACGACCAGCCACACUGGGACUGAGACACGGCCCAGACUCCUACGGGAGGCAGCAGUGGGGAAUUUUGGACAAUGGACGCAAGUCUGAUCCAGCCAUGCCGCGUGCGGGAAGAAGGCCUUCGGGUUGUAAACCGCUUUUGUCAGGGAAGAAACGCUCUGGGUUAAUACCUCGGGGUAAUGACGGUACCUGAAGAAUAAGCACCGGCUAACUACGUGCCAGCAGCCGCAGUAACAC